UGGGGAAUCUUGCACAAUGGGGGCAACCCUGAUGCAGCGACGCCGCGUGAGCGAUGAAGCCCUUCGGGGCGUAAAGCUCUUUCGACCGGAACGAUAAUGACGGUACCGGGAGAAGAAGCUGCGGCUAACUACGUGCCAGCAGCCGCGGUAAUACGUAGGCAGCAAGCGCUGUUCGGAGUUACUGGGCGUAAAGAGUGCGUAGGCGGUUUUCUAAGUUCGGUGUGAAAUCUCCCGGCUUAACUGGGAGGAUGCGCCGAAGACUGGGAAGCUGGAGUGUGGGAAAGGCAGGCGGAAUUCCUGGUGUAGCGGUGAAAUGCGUAGAUAUCAGGAGGAACACCGGCGGUGUAGACGGCUUGCUAGACCAUAACUGACGCUGAGGCACGAAAGCGUGGGUAGCAAACA
rnacentral:rRNA from 1 species